rnacentral:rRNA from 1 species
AGCAGCCGCGGUAAUUCCAGCUCCAAUAGCGUAUAUUAAAGUUGUUGCAGUUAAAAAGCUCGUAGUUGAAUUUCGGGAUUGACCCAUCGGUCGUGCCUUAAGGGGUGUGAACUGGUGUAGUCAAUUUCUCACCUUCUGGAGAACCGCGAUGUCCUUAAUUGGGUGCCGCGAGGAACCAGGACCUUUACUUUGAAAAAAUUAGAGUGUUUAAAGCAGGCAUUUUUGCUUGAAUACAUUAGCAUGGAAUAAUAAAAUAGGACGGCAUGAUUCUAUUUUGUUGGUUUCUAGGAUCACCGUAAUGAUUAAUAGGGAUAGUUGGGGGCAUUAGUAUUCAAUUGUCAGAGGUGAAAUUCUUGGAUUUAUUGAAGACUAACUACUGCGAAAGCAUUUGCCAAGGAUGUUUUCAUUAAUCAAGAACGAAAGUUAGGGGAUCGAAGACGAUCAGAUACCGUCGUAGUCUUAACCAUAAAACUAUGCCGACUAGGAAUCAGACGAUGUAAUUUUUUAAUGACUCGUUUGG